GAGAGGUUAAAGCACAGAGAGGUCCUUUUAUUGGGGCACCACUUUCUUCAGGAAUGAAUGGAAAAGGAGUUUAGAGAGAGCACGAAACCUGGCUUGCCACUGCCAACACUGGCAGCUCUUCUCCCACGACAGGCCAGCAGAACCAGCGGGCUUUACCUCUGGCAAUUCUCAGCCAACGACUA
rnacentral:lncRNA from 1 species